UGAACGCUAGCUACAGGCUUAACACAUGCAAGUCGAGGGGCAGCAUGGUCUAGCUGCUAAGAUGAUGGCGACCGGCGCACGGGUGAGUAACGCGUAUCCAACCUUCCCUAUAGUAGGGGGAUAGCCCGUAGAAAUGCGGAUUAAUACCCUAUGUUGUAUUUCGAUGACAUCUGACGAAUACCAAAGGUUCACCGCUAUAGGAUGGGGAUGCGUCUGAUUAGGUAGUCGGCGGGGUAACGGCCCACCGAGCCAACGAUCAGUAGGGGUUCUGAGAGGAAGGUCCCCCCACAUUGGAACUGAGACACGGUCCAAACUCCUACGGGAGGCAGCAGUGAGGAAUAUUGGUCAAUGGGCGAGAGCCUGAACCAGCCAAGUAGCGUGCAGGAUGACGGCCCUAUGGGUUGUAAACUGCUUUUAUGCGGGGAUAAAGUGAGGGACGUGUCCCUUAUUGUAGGUACCGCAUGAAUAAGGACCGGCUAAUUCCGUGCCAGCCGCCGC
rnacentral:rRNA from 1 species